ACUGUCCAGGCUGCCAGCUGUCCCUGUCAAUUCACUGCAUGUUUCAGAAGUUGUUUGCUUGCACUUCCUACUUACUCAGGACCCUGGACGGUGGAGGUGGGCCAAGCAGAGCUCCAGAGAACACCACUGGACUGCGAUACACCUUCCCCAGACCCCGCGACCUACCUAUCCCUUAAUUUGUAAGUUAUGCCAUUAAAUAAAUCUCCUUUUAACUA